UAGCCUGCAGCUAGCUCUCUGUAACUCUAACAUGCUCGCCCACUGAAGCUAAGCAGGGAUGGGCCCGGUCAGUACCUGGAUAGGAGACAACAUGGGAAGGCUAGGUUGCAGCCGAA
ensembl:rRNA 5S_rRNA 5S ribosomal RNA